rnacentral:lncRNA from 1 species
UAAUACUAUUUUAUUUCAAAAAUAAUUUGACAUAAACGAAUAACCACACAAGAUGGCUUACUUUCCAAACUAAAUCAAAUCUCCAUUAUGUUUUGAUAUCUUCUUUGGAAAAAGAUUAUGAAACUUUUUGCUUUCAGCGAAUGUACGAUAUGAACUUGUCUUCGCAAAAGUUAUAAACGAUAGCGUUUGUUUCGACACCAAAAUCGCGAGAUCAUCUAAACUUCACAAUUAUACGAAACCUAGUCUUUUGAUUUCAGUCGAGUGGAGCUUGAAGUCGAGUUUGUAAAACUCAAGAAUUUGUCAUUUUCUAUACAAAUGU